rnacentral:rRNA from 1 species
UACGUAGGGACCAAGCGUUGUCCGGAAUUAUUGGGCGUAAAGCGCGUGUAGGCGGCUUGGCAAGUCGGGUGUGAAAGCCCUCAGCUCAACUGAGGAAGUGCGCCCGAAACUGCUAGGCUUGAGUGCCAAAGAGGAUGGUGGAAUUCCCGAAGUAGAGGUGAAAUUCGUAGAUAUCGGGAGGAACACCGGUGGCGAAGGCGACCAUCUGGUUGGUAACUGACGCUGAGACGCGAAAGCGUGGGUAGCAAACAGG